GGACAUCACCCACACCUGGAAGGCUGCAGGCCACACUCUCAGAGGGACUGUGAAUCUGCCACUGGAGCAGUGUUCUCUCUCUCCAGUUCAGGACGUUUCUCUGAACGAAGACCACGUGCUCCACACCAGCAAUCUGCAAAGAAGGAGCCCAAGGGAGAGGAGGUAGUCCGCAAGUCACCCACCCUGAUUCCUGAUCUCAUCCCACACAGCCUGGGUCACCUUUAGCUAGGACUUCCAAGUUCCAUCUCCUGUCUCUCUCUAACUUGGCCUGUGCCAUCCCCAUCUAGUAACAGACACCCUGCUCCCUCUGCCACCCAGUCCAACAAGAGACACCCAGCCUGGAUGGGACGACUCCUGAUCUCACCACUAUCCACACCGGUUCAGGCCACGUCCAGCACUGA
rnacentral:lncRNA from 1 species